rnacentral:lncRNA from 1 species
CCAACUUCCUGGUUUUACAAAAAAUACUGAGAGCAAAAAAAUAAUGACAGUAUAUCAAAGUCACAUGUCUAGAGGGUGGCAGGCUAGGACUCAGAUUUCUUGACCAUAACCAGACUCCAUAGCCCAGCCACAGUCAGGAGAUCUGUCCACAUCCAGCAUUGUUUGUUAUUUCUAGCCUCAUUUUCAAGAACCCUUGCUAAAGUCAGUAAGAUAUUGAGAUGAAGAAAUCAGUGUAACUUCCCUACCACAAUCUUCCAUGUAUUCAUCAACAAUUUCACAUAGUAAACUCUCACAAACAUUUCAUUUAUUGAACAUCUACUAAGUAAAAAGCAAGAUUUAUACUUAUUUAAUUCUUUAAAUAACUAAAUUGGCUUAACUUUAAUAUAUUUAUUUUAAUUAUAUAUACAAACUGCAAUAUAGUUUUAUUAAUGCAUUUAUUUUCAUAUCAGUCCCAUGAAAUAUAUAUUCCUAUUUUCAAUUUUCUGUAAAAAAGAUGAAGAUGGGGUGUUCCCAUUGUUGUGCAGCAGAAAAAACCCAGUUAGUAUCCAUGUGGAUGUGGAUUCAAUCUCUGGCCUCACUCAGUGGGUCAGGGUUCCAGCCUUGCUGUGGCUGUGGUGUAGGCCAGUGGCUACAGAUACGACUCCAUGAACCUCCUUAUACAGAGGCUGCAGCCCUAAAAAAAAGAAGAAAAAAGAAAGAUGAAGAUAGGAAAAGUUAAGCAAAUUUCCCAAGGUCACUCACCUAGUAAAAGGCAGUCAGGAUUUGAAUUCAGCUCUUUGCAGUAUCAAUUUCUAUACUCUUACUUUUUCUAUACUUCCAUUGUCUCCCAUAUGAGCAUCAUUAUAAUUCUCACUUAUAAAUACAUUAUUUACAUUGGAACAAAUAUUUGUAUUCACAAAACCUUGUAUAUGUUUGUCAGUGUCCAGGUGGUGAGACUAAUGAAAAUAAUCUUUUUAAUUGUUAAUGAUUUUCUUUUCUUUUUGUGUGUGUGUGUGUUUUUUUUCUUUUUUUUUUUUUUUUUUUUUGGUGUUUUUGCCGUUUCUUGGGCCGCUCCUGCGGCAUAUGGAGGUUCCCAGGCUAGGGGUCAAAUCGGAGCUGUAACCGCUGGCCUAGACCAGAGCCACAGCAACGCGGGAUCCAAGCCACGUCUGUGACCUACACCACAGCUCAUGGCAAUGCCAGAUCUUAACCCACUGAGCAAGGGCAGGGAUGGAACCCGCAACCUCAUGGUUCCUAGUCAGAUUCACUAACCACUGUGCCACGAUGGGAACUCCAUGAUUUUGUUUUCAAACCAGUUUAAAAACUUAUCUUAGGAUGGAGCACAGGAGUUGGUUGGGGGUGGGAGAAUGGACUGGAAUCAUACCUUAAUUUGCUUCUGUUUCCAUGGUUGCCAAAGAUAAGCCCUUCAUAAAUGUUUUCAAGAAUGUGAGUGAUGAGGAGUUCCCAUGUGGCUCAACGGGUUAAGGAUCUAGCACUGUCAGUGUUCCAGCUCAGGUUGCUGCUGUGGUGCAGGUUUGAUCCCUGGCCUGGGAACUUCCACAAGCCACAGGUGCAGCCAAAAAAAAAAGAAUUUAGACAUUGACUAUAAUAUAUAAUAUCUAUUAUACAUAUGUAUGUAUAAUAUCUAUGUAUGCAACAGUGAAUGUAAUUUUCAAAGUGAUAUCAUUUGUGGUCUCUCUUAACAGGGAAUUAGUUUAGUUACCUCCUGGACUAGAAUCAAAAAACAUUUAGCGUGAUUGUCAUUGCUUAUUUGUUAACAUUCCCCACUUUAUUUGCAUUUCUAUAUUCAAUUAUACCUCUCUAAAUAGAGUAAUUGCCACUUUAACAGGAAAGUGAAUGUCUAACAACUGAAAUUAUUUAGCCCGAGUGCCCCCACAGAGAAAAGCCUCAACACAUUGUUUUCUCCCAAUUCUGGCUCCAUCUGUCUCAUUCUGGAGUGAGGCAAACUCCUUCAUCAUGGCAAGCCAGCUGGAGAUGGUGAUUCCAUAGAGACACAGGGCUUUUUUAUCUACACUAGAAAAGGAGAGAAAGUGAUCCUUCCCCCAGGGCUCAUUGUCUCACUCUGUCAGUGAGCGAGAAAAAUUCCAAAAUGAACUAGUUCCUUCAGAGCUAGGGUAAACGUCUCUCGAAGUAGUGAACUUGUGGUUUUGAAAUUUGCCAUGGUUUUGUGUCACAGAAACUGCUCUGUGUUCCCACUGCUGGGGGCAGGGGGGGAACAGAGAUACAUCUAAGCAUGUUUGCCUUGUUUCUGAAGCCCCAUGUUUUUGAAAGCUAGGAUCAGAAUAUAAUCUCUAGGGAGUUCCCGUCAUGGCUCAGUGGUUAACGAAUCUGACUAGGAACCAUGAGAUUGUGGGUUCGAUCCCUGGCCUUGCUCAGUGGGUUAAGGAUCCAGCGUUGCUGUGAGCUGUGGUGUACGUCACAGACGCAGCUUGGAUCCUGCAUUGCUGUGUCUCUGGCUUAGGCCAACGGCUACAGCUCCGAUUCAACCCCUAGCCUGGGAACCUCCAUAUGCUGUGGGAGCAGCCCAAGAAACGGCAAAAAGACAAAAUAAAAUAAAAUAAUAAUAUAAUCUCUAGAAGCAGUUACAACCUACAAUUAUAGGAUGUUGUUAAAAGUUGGAAGACUCUGGUCCAUCCCUUUUUCUUCCUCAUCUGUCUCCUAUAGCAUUUUACAGAAAACAGGAUUUUUAUAGGAAUAUUGGCUAUGUGGUCACAGAUGAACCUAUCUAUAAAACAGAAACAGAUUCAAGACAUAGAGAACAGACUUGUGGUUGCCAAGGGGGAAGGAGGAGGGAGUGGGAUGGAUUGGGAGUUAGAAGUUGGUAGAUGUAAAACUAUUACAUCUAGAAUGGUCAAGCAAUGAGGUCCUACUGUAUAGCACAGGGAACUAUAUCCAGUCUCUUGGGAUAGACCAUGAUGGUAGAUAUUAUGAGAAAGGGAAAUGUAUAUAUAUAUAUGACUGGGUCACUUUACUGUAUAGCAUAAAUUAGCAAAACAUUGUAAAUGAACUACACUUUAAUUUAAAAAUGCAAAAUAAAAAAUAUUGGCUAUGUGGUAGUGUGUGUGUGAAAGAGAAAGAAGGAGAAUGAGAAUAAAUGAUGGGGAGCUAGAAGAACUAUACCUAUGGGUGACAGGGACAGCCUGUAUAUAUUUAGUUUGAAACUUGUGAAGCUUCUAAAAAAUAAAAUCUCUUUUUUUCCUUUUAUAUAUAUAAUGUAUAUUUAAGGUCACACCUAUAGCAUGUGGAAGUUCCCAGACUAAGGGCCGAAUCGGAGCUGCAGCUGCAGGCCUACAUAACAGUUACAAAAACACUGGAUCCGAGCCAUAGCUUGUGGCAAUGUCAGAUCCUUAACCCACUGAGCAAGGCCAGGGAUUGAACUCCCAUCCUUGCAGAGACAAUGCUGUGUCCUUAACCCACUAAGCCACGAUAGGAACUCCUAGAUUCUCAUGUCUUCACAAGUUUCAAACUAAUUAUAAGGAAAUACCAUCCUACGUCUGAUUAAAUUAUAUGAAGUUCCACUUUUUCAUAACAUCUGACAUGAUGUUUAUAUCUUCUCAUUAUUCUACACAAUCAAGCAAAUUCCAAUCAUAUAUUAAGUUUUCAAUAAUAUUCAUUAAGAUUUGAACAUGUAUAAACUAAACUGGAAGAAAAGCGAUACAAAAAUAUCACUUCUUCCAUUGUUUGUCUUGAAAUUGUAUACUUCACAUUGGGGUUAGAAUACAUGUGCUAGGGCUCAGACUCAGCCAAAACCCAGAAUGGGAUAUGAACCCACUGCUUUUUAAUUAAAAUCAUACACCUGGUCCCACAUCUUACUGAAAUGAAGUUCAGGCUCUUUAUCUCUCAGCACAGAAGGAAUUCAGUGAAAGGCAAAGCAAUAGGUAAGAUUUAUUGAGAGAUAGACAAAGUGUGGGCCAUCUUAGAAGGCCAGAAAAAGAGGCCCCAAAAUAUGGGGUGGUGAGUUUUUUAUGGGCUGGUCAAUUACAUAGGCUAAUGAGUGGGAGAAUUAUUCCAACAAUUUCUGGGAAAGGGCAGGGUUUCCAGGAAUUGGGCCACUGCCCUCUUUUUGGUCUUUUCUGGUUGGCCUCAGAACUGUCAUAAUGCCUGUGGGCAUGCCAUUCGGUGUGCUAAUGUGUUACAAUGAGCAUAUAACGAAGCUCAAGGUCCACUGGAAGUCAAACCAUCUACCAUCUUGGACCUAGUUUGUUCUAACCAGUUUUUGUCAUAUCCUCAAGGACUACGUCAUUCUUUUAAGGGCUGUGCCUCGACUUCUUGUAGUGGUCUGACUUCAUCCUUCUACAUGUGGAUAACCAGUUGUCCCAACAUCACUUGUCAAAGAGACUAUUGUUUCCUUCACUGAAUGCCACACCCACAGCAACACCAGAUCCUUAACCUGCUGAGCAGGGCCAGGGAUCAAACCCGAAUCUUCAAUGGCAUAAUAGGCAUUAUGAUUACACUCAGUUUACAGAUGAGGCAAUUAAAGCUGACAGGCAUUAAAUAAUUUGCUCAAGGUCACACUGAUAGUAAAUGGUGUAGUCAGGGCUUGGACCCAUAUGUAUUUGAUUAUAAAGCCACUCAAUUAUAGUGCUAGUUUUUAUUUGAACAUUUAGUUAUAGUCUCCCUCCCAUGUCUCCCUUCUAGAGUCACUAUUGAAUAAUCUACCACAUGGUAACAAGCUACAGGCCCACAGACAAAAUUGAGACUGUAGAUGUAUAUUGCUUGUCCCAUAUAAUGGAUUCAAAAUGUUUUUAAUCAAUUAAUAAUAUUUUUAAAUUGGGCUAUUUUUCAAGCAAGUCAAGAUUCCCAUAUCCUGGGAGUUCCCUAAGUAGCUCAGUGAUUAACAAACCCGACUAGGAUCCAUGAGGAUGUGGGUUUGAUACUUGGCCUCGCUCAGUGCAUUAAGAAUCCAGUGCCAUGAGCCAUGGUGUAGGUUGCAGAAGUGGCUUGGAUCUGGCAUUGCUGUGGCUGUGGUGUAGGCUGGCAACUACAGCUCCAAUUCAACACCUGGCCUGGGAACUUCCAUAUGC